rnacentral:lncRNA from 1 species
ACAGGUAGAUAACAGUGAGAAACCAACAUGGAGAUAACAGUGAGAAACCAACAUGGAGAUAACAGUGAGAAACCAACAGGGAGAUAACAGUGAGAAACCAACAGGGAGAUAACAGGGAGAUGACAGUGAGAAACCAUCAGGGAGAUAACAGUGAUGACCACAGUGAGAAACCAACAGGGGGAUAACAGUGAGAAACCAACAGGGAGAUAACAGUGAGAAACCAAGAGGGAGAUAACAGUGAUGACCACAGUGAGAAACCAACAGGGAGAUGACAGUGAUGACCACAGUGAGAAACCAACAGGGAGAUAACAGUGAGAAACCAACUGCUGCUGCUACUCUCUAUUGACUCUGUACUGGUACCCCCCUGUAUAUAGCCUCCACAUUGACUCUGAACCGGUACCGCCUGUAUAUAGCCUCCACAUUGACUCUGUACCGGUAUCCCCUGUAUAUAGCCUCCACAUUGACUCUGUACCGGUACUCCCUGGAUAUAGCCUCCACAUUGACUCUGUACCGGUACCCCUUGUAUAUAGUCUCACUAUUGUUAUUUUACUGCUGCUCUUUAAUUACUUGUUAUUCUUAUCUCUUACUUUAUUUUGAUGGUAUUUUCUUAAAACUGCAUUGUUGGUUAAGGGGCUUGUAAGUCAGCAUUUCACUGUAAGGUCUACUACACCUGUUGUAUUCAGCAUUUCACUGUAAGGUCUACUACACUUGUUGUAUUCAGCAUUUCACUGUAAGGUCUACUACACCUGUUGUAUUCAGCAUUUCACUGUAAGGUCUACUACACUUGUUGUAUUCAGCAUUUCACUGUAAGGUCUACUACACCUGUUGUAUUCAGCAUUUCACUGUAAGGUCUAC